GACGAACGCUGGCGGCGUGCUUAACACAUGCAAGUCGAACGGUAAGGCCCUUCUUUUGUGGGUUGCUCGUGUUGCGACCGUGUGAGUAACACGUGAGUAACCUGCCCUUGACUUUGUUAUAACUUCAGGUAACUUUGGCUAAUACCUGAUAGGUGCUCCUGCUGCAUGUUUGGGUUUGGAUUGUUUCGGCGGUUGGGUAUGUACUCGCGGGUUAUCAGCUUGUUGGUUGGGUAGUGGCUUACCAAGGCUUUGACGGGUAGCCGGCCUGAGAGGGUGACCGGCAAGAUUGGGACUGAGAUACGGCACAGAGUGCUACGGGAGGCAGCAGUGGGGAAUAUUGCACAAUGGGCGGAAGCCUGAUGAAGCAAAGAAGCGUGCGGGAUGACGGCCUUCGGGUUGUAAAAAGAAUUAGCAUGUGAGGAAGCGUGAGUGACGGUAAUGGGUAAAGAAGCACCGGCUAACUACGUG
rnacentral:rRNA from 1 species